rnacentral:rRNA from 1 species
UACGAAGGGGGCUAGCGUUGCUCGGAAUCACUGGGCGUAAAGGGUGCGUAGGCGGGUCUUUAAGUCAGGGGUGAAAUCCUGGAGCUCAACUCCAGAACUGCCUUUGAUACUGAAGAGCUUGAGUCCGGGAGAGGUGAGUGGAACUGCGAGUGUAGAGGUGAAAUUCGUAGAUAUUCGCAAGAACACCAGUGGCGAAGGCGGCUCACUGGCCCGGUACUGACGCUGAGGUGCGAAAGCGUGGGGAGCGAACAGG